AUUUUCUUAGUAUAUCAAGUAUAUUUGACUUCCAAUCAAAAGGACUAAAAAUUAGAGAAAAUA
rnacentral:tRNA from 1 species